rnacentral:rRNA from 1 species
UGGGGAAUAUUGCACAAUGGGCGAAAGCCUGAUGCAGCAACGCCGCGUGAGCGAAGAAGGCCUUCGGGUCGUAAAGCUCUGUCCUCAAGGAAGAUAAUGACGGUACUUGAGGAGGAAGCCCCGGCUAACUACGUGCCAGCAGCCGCGGUAAUACGUAGGGGGCAAGCGUUAUCCGGAUUCACUGGGCGUAAAGGGUGCGUAGGCGGUCUUACAAGUCAGGAGUGAAAGGCUACGGCUCAACCGUAGUAAGCUCUUGAAACUGUUAGACUUGAGUGCAGGAGAGGAGAGUGGAAUUCCUAGUGUAGCGGUGAAAUGCGUAGAUAUUAGGAGGAACACCAGUUGCGAAGGCGGCUCUCUGGACUGUAACUGACGCUGAGGCACGAAAGCGUGGGGAGCAAACA